rnacentral:rRNA from 1 species
UACAGGGGGUGCAAACGUUGCUCGGAAUUAUUGGGCGUAAAGCGCGCGUAGGCGGCUACUUAAGUCGGAUGUGAAAGCCCCUGGCUCAACUGGGGAAGUGCACCCGAAACUGAGUAGCUAGAGUGCGAAAGAGGGUCGCGGAAUUCCCGGUGUAGAGGUGAAAUUCGUAGAUAUCGGGAGGAACACCGGUGGCGAAGGCGGCGACCUGGGUCGACACUGACGCUGAGGAGCGAAAGCGGGGGGAGCGAACAGG